rnacentral:lncRNA from 1 species
UGGAUAACUAUUCGAUUAACAUAUUAACAAGUAUUUUAUCCAAAUCAGAAAUCAAAUAAGAGAAAGAAAAACCUGAAAUAAUCUACUGGGUUUUUUAAUUUCCUCGUCACAACUCUCUUUACCGUCUUUGGGAUGCUUCAACUCUCUUGUUAAUCGUUAAGUUAUAACUUAUCGUCCCCAUUGAUAUUUCUCAUGACGUGAUAUUCCACAUAUCAUCUUCACCACCAUCAUCAUUAAUAUCUUCCCCGCCACUGUUACGAGCUCACCCUGAAAUUGGAAACACCACCACUUACAAACUACUUUUACCAGUAAUUGAGAUGUUUUGUUACCAGAAUAUUUUGGUUGAAUCAAUCUCAAAACUUUGAAAAUCCCAUUUAUAUCAAUUGCGAUGUUUUGUUACCAGAAAAUUGUAAGUGAAGCCGUGGAUGAAAAUAAGCUACGUAACGGUCGGAGCUCCAAUCAUCUUCGUCGUCAUCGCCUCUGUAUUUAGUAAACCACCACCGUCAAAAGUGAAUCAGACAAUUCACCAAUUUGCUUUUCCAGCAAGCUUUGAUUUCAAUAUCUUUUAUUCGAU